UUAGAGGAAGUAAAAGUCGUAACAAGGUUUCCGUAGGUGAACCUGCGGAAGGAUCAUUAAUGAGUGUAUCGAGCUUCGCUCUUUGUAAGGAUGAAAAUUUUUACAAGGGGAGAAUGACUCGCCUACAUUAUUCACCCAACGUUGAAUUGAUGCGUGAUCGUGCUGUUCUCUCAUUAACUUCUCUGUAAAUUGUAUUCUUGUAGAUGCUAUUUACCGGAGUACAGACUUUGGGAAGCUUUGAGGAAGGGUUUUCAUGAUCGCCAUUUAACACAAUGAUUUGUUUUGAAGGCAAAGAUGCGUAUUUUACAAAAUAUGUAAACUUUCAACAAUGGAUCUCUUGGUUCUGGCAUCGAUGAAGAACGCGGCAAAAUGCGAUAAGUAAUGUGAAUUGCAGAAUUCAGUGAAUCAUCGAAUCUUUGAACGCAAAUUGCGCUUUCUGGUAUUCCGGAAAGCACACCUGUUCGAGCGUCAAUUUUCAGAUACAGUACCUUUAUUUCAUUUGUUAGCUGGGUGGUGUUCUAUUUGGCUAACAUGUGGGGUAUGCUACGGGUGUUAUGGAUGAAUUGUUGUGGGUCAUUAAGGUGACUUCUGACACAUCUGAAAAAUGUCCGCGGCGCUAUGGAAUGCUUCGGUGGUAGCAAAAUCGGAAUUUUCCGCUUUCAGCCUUGAAGUUACUUCAAUUGUGUCGGCCACGUGAAUUGGGUUGGGGUUUGAACCGUUUUAAACGGUUUAGAACUUGACUUGAAGUUUGUGACCUCGAAUCAGGUGGGAGUACCCGCUGAACUUAAGCAUAUCAAUAAG
rnacentral:rRNA from 1 species